GCUUUUAAACCAAAUCAUGCUUUCAAUAAGUUUUCUUCAACUAGCACACCAUUACCAAAUUCAUAUAUCAAGCUCUUAAUAGACAGGAUAAAGUUCAAAACUUAUGCUACUGACCCUAAUUUGGUACUAUAUGCCUGAUUUCCCUCUGUUUUCUCUGUCAUGUAGGCAACUUGAGCACCAAAAUCUGGGGUUUUGCUUUUGUUUGCAGAGAUGGAUAUCUAUUGAAAAGACUGUAGCUUAAGAAAAGGGGCAUGGAGUCCUAAAGAAGACCGGAAACUGACUGCUUAUAUUAAGAUGGGAUUUGGAAUUGGGCAGAGAUGGCUAAACCAGCAGGAUUACAAAGGUCAGGGAAGAGUUGCAGACUUCGUUGGGUGAAUUACUUAAGGCCUGGAAUUAAACAUGGGAAUUUCAGUAGGGAAGAGAGCAAACAACAAUUGAUUUACAUGAAAAGCUUGGAAAUAGAUGGUCACAAUUGCAUCAAAAUUGCCAGGAAAAACUGAUAAUGAGAUUAAAAACCAUUGGCAUGCUCACUUAAGAAACGUUUUAAGUACGACCUGAAUUCAUUGCCUGAGAGUGAACCUUGCCAGCCAUCCAAUGCUGAAACAGACCGAAAUACUUCAUUCAGAAUUGAUCUCCCAGCACACAAUGUUCCAAGACCAUCUAUUUUGGAAAGCUUAGGUUUGAUUUCUACCGACAUUUUGCCUUCAUCGAGCUCGAAUCCACCGUUUGAAAUCGAAUAAAAGCCAAACAUCAAGGGUCCGUUGGUUCAUUGACAACUUCAAAGUAUAAUAGGCCAUUAGUUCAUUGUUUUCAGCAGCAGCCAGCUCUCAGCUGGUGUUUCCAUACAAGUAUAAACCAG